GUGAGGAAUAUUGGUCAAUGGGCGCAAGCCUGAACCAGCCAUCCCGCGUGCAGGAAGACGGCCCUAUGGGUUGUAAACUGUUUUUCCGGGGGGAGAAUUUUUCCGUCGUGACGGGAAUUGACGGUACCCCGGGAAUAAGCAUCGGCUAACUCCGUGCCAGCAGCCGCGGUAAUACGGAGGAUGCGAGCGUUAUCCGGAUUUAUUGGGUUUAAAGGGUGCGUAGGCGGAAUGAUAAGUCAGUGGUGAAAACCUGCAGCUUAACUGUAGACUUGCCGUUGAUACUGUCAGUCUUGAGUGUGGUCAAGGUAGGCGGAAUGUGUAAUGUAGCGGUGAAAUGCUUAGAUAUUACACAGAACACCGAUUGCGAAGGCAGCUUACUGGGCCAUUACUGACGCUGAUGCACGAAAGCGUGGGGAUCGAACAGGAUUAGAAACCCGUGUAGUCC
rnacentral:rRNA from 1 species